AAGAGAUUAUGAACUAGAAAUAGCUGCUAACUAAUUUCUAAAGCGGUUUAAUUCCGUUUAUCUCUUA
rnacentral:tRNA from 1 species